rnacentral:rRNA from 1 species
AGAGUUUGAUCAGUGGCUCGAGGACGAACGCUGGCGGCGUGCUUAACACAUGCAAGUCGAACGGUAAGGCCCUUCGGGGUACACGAGUGGCGAACGGGUGAGUAACACGUGGGUGAUCUGCCCUGCACUUUGGGAUAAGCCUGGGAAACUGGGUCUAAUACCGAAUAGGACCAUGGACUUCACGGUUUGUGGUGGAAAGCUUUUGCGGUGUGGGAUGGGCCCGCGGCCUAUCAGCUUGUUGGUGGGGUAAUGGCCUACCAAGGCGACGACGGGUAGCCGGCCUGAGAGGGUGACCGGCCACACUGGGACUGAGAUACGGCCCAGACUCCUACGGGAGGCAGCAGUGGGGAAUAUUGCACAAUGGGCGCAAGCCUGAUGCAGCGACGCCACGUGAGGGAUGACGGCCUUCGGGUUGUAAACCUCUUUCAGCACAGACGAAGCGCAAGUGACGGUAUGUGCAGAAGAAGGACCGGCCAACUACGUG